rnacentral:rRNA from 1 species
AUUGAACGCUGGCGGCAUGCUUUACACAUGCAAGUCGAACGGCAGCGCGGGGCAACCUGGCGGCGAGUGGCGAACGGGUGAGUAAUACAUCGGAACGUACCCAGAAGUGGGGGAUAACGUAGCGAGAGUUACGCUAAUACCGCAUACGUUCUACGGAAGAAAGUGGGGGACCUUCGGGCCUCAUGCUUUUGGAGCGGCCGAUGUCUGAUUAGCUAGUUGGUGAGGUAAAGGCUCACCAAGGCGACGAUCAGUAGCUGGUCUGAGAGGACGACCAGCCACACUGGGACUGAGACACGGCCCAGACUCCUACGGGAGGCAGCAGUGGGGAAUUUUGGACGAUGGGCGCAAGCCUGAUCCAGCCAUGCCGCGUGUGUGAAGAAGGCCUUAUGGUUGUAAAGCACUUUAAGCGAGGAGGAGGCUCUUUUGGUUAAUACCCAGAAUGAGUGGACGUUACUCGCAGAAUAAGCACCGGCUAACUCUGUGCCAGCCGCCGCCUGUAAUAC